CACGACUAAAAGACGUUCCCAUAGCGCAGCUUAGAGUGUAGUCUUUGAAAGGGAACAUGAUAAUACAAAUAAUUACUGAAGGAGCCAAAUGUAGUGAUUAUUUAACCACUAGAUGGCGGUGUUCACUGUGCUGUAGGUGCAGGUCACCUGUUCAUGUUAUCUACUUAAACUUUCCUUUAGUUAUUUUGGGGAAGGGACAGGUGGCGGGAACAUAUGGUUCUUAAUAUAGAUCCACAAGCUUUUAAAACUGUAUGAGUUAUUUGUAUUAUUAUUAUUAUUUAUUUAUUUAUUUAUUUAUUUAUUUUUAUAUAAAGCAUUGAAGCAGAGAUCACUAUGUAGACAUUAUUUAUUUGUUUAUUCCAAACUAUGGCUGAAUAACAUCUUACCACCUUGCCCUGGCAUAUAGAAAAACCACUACAAUUACAAAUAAUGUGUCUCACUCUCAACUCAUUUUUAACACUUCAUUAAAAAAAAAAAAAACAUUUAAUGAGUUUUUUUUAUUAUUAUUUUUGUAAUUCUGCAGAUGGAACAUGUUCUAACUGUGAACCAGAACCUCAAUGGCUUGUUAUAGGAAUAUUAAAUGCUGCAUGUGUAGUUCUAGUUCUCGCUGUGAUUGGUUACUUGAUCUACAAAAGCAGAAGGGCAAAUGGAGAUGAGGACACGACUGCAGCCGGCUCAUCCCUUGCAAGUCUGAUAAGAAGCAAGUGCAAUUAUGGCUCAAUGGAUGAUCAGUCAAAAAAAUGACCAGUCAGAAGAUGAUCAGUAAAGACUGUAAUAGAGGAGAAGAUUAUUAUGAUGAGGACCACAUCUACAGGAUCAUCUACACACAGGUGUCUCCACAUCAUAUUCAUUGUCUUUCUUUACGCAAAGAGAGUUGGAGAAAUCAAAUCAAAAAUCAGUCCAAACUGCAGCAGGUGCAGACUCCAGUGGAUCAGCAGUGAUGAACUGAGAUGUGAACAUGUUUAUGGGCACUGAUGAGAAAUUACACAUUCUGGUCCAUUUUAAACAGACAAAGUGUUUUUACAUUCUUACAAGAUUUUGUUCCUUUAGCUGUUUCUAAUCUGUACUAAUUAUACUUUAAUAAGAAUGCUUACUUAUGGCAGCUUCUGUUCAUUAUAUUUUCAUUUGAUCUUAAAAUGCUUCAGACGACACUAACUCCUGUACAACUUUGGCCUGUUGCACAUUUUAGAGCUGACAAUUAAUAUAACACUUUGCUUUUAAAUGAAUAUAAAUAAUACAUGCAUUCAUGUAUAAAGUUUUAAACAGAUUAAGCUAACAUGUAUUCAUUUGAGCUCUCAGUGAACCUAUAUCUUUCAGCUUCCUUCUCAAACUUUCACAGCAGCAGCAGUGUUUAUUCCUGCCUUGUAAAUGUGUUUAAUUUCAUUAUAUUUUUCAUAACGAUCUCUUAAUCUUCAGAAGAGACGUGAAUUCACCGUCUCUCUCAUGAGAAGUGAAUCAAACUGACACUCUCCAUGUUCCACACUUUCAGGUGGACGCGCUUCAGAGUUAAUCACAAACUCUGGUACUCUAAACCUACUCUGAAACUCAAAAGUUUGUUCAGCUAGCUUUGUGCAACAGACCUCUGAACUCAUUAAGCUGAUCUUUCCAAAUCAAAUGAUGAAGAAAUUUACACUUAAAGGAUUAGUUCACUUUCAAAUUAAAUUUUCCUGAUAAUUUACU